CUCCAGGCUCUGGGCUGUCAGCCAAGAGCCCAACAUGGGGUUCAAACUCACAAACUGUGAGGUCAUGACCUGAGCCAAAAUCAAUGCUCAACCAACCGAGCCACGCAGGUGCCCCAAUCCUUUUUGGUUUUGUGGCAUUAGUUGUGAUGUCCCAGGUUUCAAUUCUGAUUUUAGUUAUUCAAAUAUUUUUUCUUUUUUUGAAAUUAAUCUAGCUAAAGGUUUUUAAAUUUUGUUGAUCUUUUCAACAAUCCAAUUCUUAGUUUUGUUGAUAUCCCUAUCAGGGUUUUUUCUAUUCUCUAUUUUGUGUAUGCUCUCAUCUUUAGUAUCUUCCUCAUGCUAACUUUUGAGUUUCUUUUUCUUUCUCUAGUUGAGAUGUAAAGUUAGAUUACUGAUCUGAGACUUUCUUAAUGUAAGCGUUUACACCUAUAAUCUUCCCUGUUGGUACUGUUUUCACUUUAUCUCAUACAUUUUGGUGUGUUGUGUUUCCAUUCUCAUUUGUCUCCUGGUAUUUUCUAAUUUCCCUUGUGAAUUCCUUGACCAAAGAACUUGACUAAAUUGGUUUUUUUGAAUUCCAGAAAGUUGAACUCACAAAUCUGUUUCCAUUUUCUUUGUUAUUUAUCCUUGGUUUUCCUCUAGGAUAGUUUCAGUGAGGUCUCUAAGCAGAGAUGAAGCAACUAUCUGUGCUCAGUCUGCAACCCUGAGCUGAGAUUGAACGGAUUCUUAAGGUUUCUUGAGCAUCUGUUUUAUAUAGAUAACCCAUAUAGGACAUUUCUCAUUAACAAGAACGGUAGAGUGGCAUUGUGCUGAAAGGUAGGGGCUCCCGAACCAGACCAUCUGGGUUCCAAAUUUGGCUUUUCUCUUUUCUAGCUGAGACUUUGGUUAGGUAUGUUACUUACAUUCUUGUAUAUGAGUUUCUUCACCAAUCAAAUGAGAAUACUAAAAAUCCCUUAUGGAGUUAUUCAAAGAUGAAAUGAGUUAAUAUUUUUAAUGUACUUAGGUGAGUGAUUGGCAUAGAGUAAGAACUAUUUCAAUAUUUGGAAUUGAAUAAAUUUGAAUUUCAGAAAAUGAAAUGCAUCUGAGAAUGUGGCCCCUUGAAUUUGUCUCACUCAUACCUGGUACAGAGUUCCUCGAAUACAACAAGAUUUAAAACAUUUUUUUUUCCUGCUUAGAGGUCAACUAAGUUGAGUGGUGACAAUUUUUGCACUUAAGUAGGUAGUUAAUAAAAAAAACAAACUUAAGUAAGUUUGAAUGACUGUGUGUAUCCCUGACAAGAUACACAGGUGUCACAGUCGCGACUGAAAGGAAUUCACAGAAAGUCGGACUAACAGAGUCAAGAGGCACAACCUGGCCAAGGGAACACUCAAGGAAACAGAUUCCAAACGUUUGUUUCCUUUAUUUUUAUUAACCCUUGCAUUCGCACAAUAUUUCAGCCAAAGCUUGAGGAAAGUAAGAACCCGACCUAUUGAAAGCUCAACCAAAAGACCAUAAUAAAAUAGCCAAAGAUACAGUUCUACAAAAUUGCAAUAUUUUUUAAUGUCUGUUUAUUUUUGAAAGAGAGAGAGAGAGAGGCAGAGUGCAAGCAGGGGAGGGGCAGAGAAAAAGAGGGAGACACAAAGCCCGAAGCAGGCUUCAGGCCCAGAGCUGUCAGCACAGAGCCCGACGUGGGGCUUGAACUCGCAAACGCCCGGAACGGUUCCUCGGUGUCCCUCUGACCGUCAUGCCCCUGACGCUUCUGAAGGUUCCAGGCACCGAAAUUUGGAUGCUUUCCUUACCCCACGUGGGCUGCGGCACCUCAUUCGGGGCCGCCUCCUGCAAGCGUGCCCUCCUGCCCGGAGACCCUCCACUUGGGCCGGACGCCCCAAGCCCGACCGCCCUUGCCAUCGCAGUGACGCCACCUCACCCUGCUCGGGCUCCGGCACCCUGGCACCGGGGCCCCCACCCAGGCAGCACCCCUCACCCCACUGAGGCGACAGCACCUUGCGCUGGGCAGCCCCUCCACGGACACCCACCUCACCCUGCUCCGGUGCCGACAGCCUGCGAUGCGAACGUCGCGGCGCCCCACUCCCCGGGCGGCUGGUCUCACGCAGAGGCUGACUUGCUCAGGGGGAGAGGGAUCACGGGAAAAAGGACAAGCUUCGGAUGGUGUUCAGAAACGCGUUUUAGUAUCUGUCUGUACGUGAGUCGUAGCCGAACCGGCUGACGAACUGAAGUCCUUUUACUUAAACAGAAAGCACAAACCGUAAGCACAAAAGCGUUCUCGUUUACAUCAUGAAUCCCGAAGGAGUAUUUUGAAGUGUUAAAACGGGUGGUCACAUUUGUGAUUAUUUUAAAAACAUGCGCAGAGAAUUCACUCAGUCUUCAACAUUUUCUAUGUAUACACAAAAAUGAAACCAAUAAAAAUUAUCGUGUAAGACA